UGAGCAGGACAGACGAUCGCGGCUGCAGCAAUGCAGGUGAGGAAAGUCCGGGCUUCACAGGGCAGGAUGCCGGAUAACGUCCGGCGGAGGCGACUCCCGGGAAAGUGCAACAGAGACAUACCGCCCGCGCAAGCGGGUAAGGGUGAAAAGGCAGUGUAAGAGACUACCGUGCGUCCGGUAACGGGCGUAGCCAUGCAAACCCCAUCCGAAGCAAGACCAAGAUGACCGCAAGGUUGGAAAACCAUAGAUUGGCCCGAUCUGUUUUCCGGUAGGUCGCUCGAGACCAUUGGUAACAGUGGUUCUAGAUAGAUGAUCGUCCAACGACAUAACCCGGCUUAUCGUCCUGCUCAUAAU
rnacentral:RNase_P_RNA from 1 species